AAAAACUUGUGAUUGAAACUUUUACUCUGAUGCAAGCUUCGCACAUACAGGUUUCCAAAAUGAAUAAUGUUAGUGAAUGACUCUCUUUAGAGAUGCGGUCAAGAGAAUAGUAUUUUCAAAUCCAAUUUCAAUUAUGCAAAUACGAGCUUAGAUAACUAUGUUGAUAUUGAAAUUAAAGACAAUUGCCUGACCCUUUCCGUCGGCCAAGGGGCAACCAUGGUGCAUCAACGCCGAAGUUUUUGUAGAUUUUAACUUUGCUGUUAAUCAUUAUCAGAAGAAGAAGAAACAAAACUGAUAUGAGCUUGGGACUAAAAUAUAUUCAUCUUCCCGCUGUACUUGAAAAUGAAAUGGAAACUCCAAAAACAAUUAGACAAAAUUGUGUGAAGGCUGGCUCUCCAAGGGGAACCAUUGAAAUCAACAACCAAAGCGUUGACAUCAUAUUUUAUUUUGGAUUUGUGAUCCCUCAUGAUCUUUAUCCAUAGCUGACUUGUAUAAGGUGGUGCAAUUACUAAUUUGCCUUGUAUAUAACGGCAGUUUUUUCCUAAAGUUUCCGUUGCAAACAA
rnacentral:lncRNA from 1 species